rnacentral:sRNA from 2 species
GAAAGCGUUGCCGCAGGCAACGACCCGAAGGGCGAAGCGCGCAGCGCUGAGUCAUCCUUCCCCCAUCACCA